rnacentral:lncRNA from 1 species
AGGGAGUCCCUGUUGCGUGUAUAUAUGUUUAUUGUUUAGAACCACUCCGCCAGCGGCCAACGCCCCAGCCCCCUCACCUUUCCCUUGCUGGCCCCGUCCCUCCGCAGGCAUAUGGGCGGCCCGAUCUGGACGACGGGCGAGAACGUGGUCAUGUACCUGCUGCUGGUGCUGGUGCUGGCGCUCAUCGGCCUCGGCGCCUACAAGCAGCUCUGCAAGCUGGCAAAGCUGGUGGCGAUGAAGCUCGGCGGCGCCGGGAACUAUUGAUGUAAACACUGCCACAGAACUGCGCACUGGUGUGGUGGAUUCAGGUGGGUGUGAUGGAUCAAGCUAAGGGGCAUUGCGCUUGGGCGUUACUGCGGCAGGCAGGACGGGUGGGUGUGUGGGUAGAAUUUGGGUAUGAGUUAUAUAUAACGCGCUCCUUAUAGCUGGCCUCGUUUAGCGAACCCGCCCAGGACCCGCCCAGCAGCGUCCCAAGGGCCAGCACUCCAGCAGUGCCUGCUGCGUCGCAGUGCACCGCACGCCCUUGGCCACCGUCUGAAAGUCAAUUUAAGCCAGCGCUUUCGUAGGCAGGCAAGAACACGGCUUCGGUCUUCAUGUUUUGUUGUUUCUCCUGUCUGUGUUGCGGCAUGGUGAUUGAUUCUACCUCUCUCAAACAAAUGAGGGCCGGACGAGCCGCAACGUAGUCAAUGCGCGAUGUAUUAGAAUGACACGCGGGGACAGAAAGUCUUUGGGAUCGCCCGGUCGGUCGGAAUGAUCACAUUGAUGAAAUUGAAAUUGCCGGUCGCCCCAUAUUUCGUUACCAGCUCAUUUGUCACGACAUUGCAUACUGCAACCUUACAUAUAUCAUUUCAAUGCCACAGGCAGCUGUUCUAUAGGCAACUUUUCAAGCAAAUCCUGGUCCAAUACAGAGCCUGUUUACCCACUUGGGAACUCAAAGCACAACGUAGAGAGCACAUCACAAAGUAGCACGUGCCGGACCACUACAUCGCUCACUCGACGGGGGACAGCGCACAGCUGCUUGUGGCACCUGCCCGGCUUCUGUAGGCCCCAGCUCGCGCCACAAGAGCACCGCUCGGUCAGCUGUAGCCCAUGGGUCCCUCUAAACCCGCAGCUAUGUCCGCAAAGCAGCGCAAGGCGCCAGGCCCCAGCACUGACACACGGUCGUCGGGUAACGGGGCUGUGGGUACUCGGGCCGCGGACCCCGGCGCCACCAGCACCGGGCAAGACGUAGCCGAUGGCAGCCGCCAGGGGAGGAAGCCCGCAACACUUGCAAGCCAAACAGGAGUUCUGCUAUACCGGCUGCAUGUGUGAGUUGCGCUCGCGCAGGACGCCUGGCGCGGCAUGCAGGGAUCCGGGCAUCCUGGCGCGCGUGGGGUUGUACACAAGGAGGCCACUUGGACCUUGACCCGCAAUGGUUGAGUGGGUCCAACUUGCCGUGGCACACGUGGGGUCUGCGCACGCCAUUGCUCAAAUACGCCUCCUCACCUGCCCCUGAUUUGCCCCUGCCGGACCCGCAGUGCUAUGGGCGGGCCCAUGUACACAACGGGCGAGAACGUACUCAUGUACCUGCUGCUGGUGCUGGUGGCGGCGCUCAUCGGCCUCGGCGCCUACAAGCAGCUCGCGAAGCUCGCAGAAUUGGCGACGAGCAAGCUGGCUGGCGCGGCG